rnacentral:rRNA from 1 species
UACGUAGGGGGCAAGCGUUGUCCGGAUUUACUGGGCGUAAAGAGCGCGUAGGCGGAGAUCUAAGCGUGGCCUGAAAGCCCCCGGCUCAACCGGGGAGUGCGGCUGCGAACUGGGUUUCUUGAGGACGAUAGAGGAGAAUGGAAUUCCUGGUGUAGCGGUGAAAUGCGUAGAUAUCAGGAGGAACACCCGAGGCGAAGGCGGCUCUCUGGGUCGUACCUGACGCUGAGGCGCGAAAGCGUGGGGAGCGAACGGG